AGAGUUUGAUCCUGGCUCAGAAUGAACGCUGGCGGCGCGCUUAACACAUGCAAGUCGAACGAGAAAUCUCGAGCUUGCUCGGGAGAGUAAAGUGGCGCACGGGUGAGUAACGCGUGGGUAACCUGUCCUUAAAUUUGGGAUAAUCCACCGAAAGGUGGCCUAAUACCAAAUACAGUCCAAGAAGCCAAGGUUCUUUGGAUGAAAGCUGACCUCUUCAUGAAAGUUGGCGUUUAACGAGGGGCUCGCGUACCAUUAGCUUGUUGGUGGGGUAAUGGCCUACCAAGGCUACGAUGGUUAGCUGGUCUGAGAAGAUGGCCAGCCACACUGGAACUGAAACACGGUCCAGACUCCUACGGGAGGCAGCAGUGAGGAAUCUUGCGCAAUGGGGGAAACCCUGACGCAGCGACGCCGUGUGAGUGAAGAAGGCCUUCGGGUCGUAAAGCUCUGUCAAGUGGGAAUAAAGUCCCUCAGUGAAUACCUGAGGGAUCUGAAGGUACCACUAGAGGAAACACCGGCUAACUCCGUGCCAGCAGCCGCGGUAAUACGGAGGGUGCAAGCGUUAUUCGGAUUUAUUGGGCGUAAAGAGCGUGUAGGCGGUUGGGAUAGUCAGACGUGAAAGCCUUCUGCUCAACAGAAGAAGUACGUCUGAAACUGCCCAACUUGAGUACGAGAGAGGAAAGUGGAAUUCCCAGUGUAGAGGUGAAAUUCGUAGAUAUUGNGAGGAACACCUGUGGCGAAAGCGACUUUCUGGAUCGAUACUGACGCUGAGACGCGAAAGCG
rnacentral:rRNA from 1 species